AUACGGAGGGUGCAAGCGUUAAUCGGAAUUACUGGGCGUAAAGCGCACGCAGGCGGUCAAUUAAGUCAGAUGUGAAAGCCCCGAGCUUAACAUGGGAAUUGGAUAUGAAACUGGGUGGCUAGAGUCUUGUAGAGGGGGGUAGAAUUCCACGCGUAGCGGUGAAAUGCGUAGAGAUGUGGAGGAAUACCGGUGGCGAAGGCGGCCCCCUGGACAAAGACUGACGCUCAGGUGCGAAAGCGUGGGGAGCAAACAGGAUUAGAUACCCUGGUAGUCCACGCUGUAAACGAUGUCGAUUUAGAGGUUGUGGUCUUGAACUGUGGCUUCUGGAGCUAACGCGUUAAAUCGACCGCCUGGGGAGUACGGCCGCAAGGUUAAAACUCAAAUGAAUUGACGGGG
rnacentral:rRNA from 1 species